rnacentral:lncRNA from 1 species
UUUAGUAACCAAUUGACGUGGGCUUCGUUAUGAAGUUUGGACCUUAUGUUUGGAUGAAAUAUACAGUCGGCUAGCCCGAUAGGAGUUAACCAUAAUUCUCUCUUUACGCAUCGCAGAAAAGGCUAUUCCUCAUCUCCUCUCUUUGUUCGAUCCCAUCCUCUGAACUUCUUCAUCAACAACCGAACCGCUUCCAGUGAAUCGCUUUAAAUCCCUUCUUAAAUUCAUCAACCACGAUGUAGCCUUGAAUGCGAGCUUUCUUCUUUGAGUCAGUAUAAAAAGGUUAGUCUUCCUCCUCUCAAAACCAUCUUCUCAAUUCCUUAUAACAAUGGAAACUUCUUUAGUAUAAGGGAUAACUCGUAUGUAUUACUUGCCGAUCGUUCUUUUUCCACUGUGGAAGUGUGUCUGUUCAGAUUUUGGGAAGAAGAAACCUGAAACUCUGUAGCAAGAUGUUGGGUGUAUACAUGCUCCUCCUCGAAGCUAAGGUUAUUUCGUUCUUCAAGCCAUAAUCAUCGUAGUUUUGUAACAUAUGAUGGCUUAUAAACUUCAGAUUAUCAAACUUAUACUGACACAUAUUGAAUAAUAAACUCUCCACUUCAUUUUGAUUUGUGUUUAUCAAAAAUUUGAUUUUUGUAUUUCUCUUUCCUCUCUGCAAGAUCUUUUAUGAAUAGUACUACGGAUUGUUAUCGAUCGUGACUGUCUUGUUUAACACAAACCACAUGGAGAAAAUGGGUUUUUCUCUUUUAAGAUUGAUAAGUAGAAGCUUGAUCAAGAGAAAUCAUAGUUUUUUUUUCUGUUAUGAAAAUUGGUUUAUUAAAUCAUCUUUGUUUUAACAGGACAAUGGAAGUUUGAUCAUGAUUACUAAAACUUCUUUAAAGUCUACUCCAUCAAUGAUUGGCUCUUUUACUUAAAGAGUUUGACUCGGUCUCUCAUAUUUUGUCUCUGCUUUCCAAUAAACUUUCCAAUAAACAAAACACUGCUCUUCAGGAAUUUUUGAGCAUCCAUUAAUAUGAUCUGAGAUCAGGAUUGUUCAUUCUUCCAUGAUUGAUGAUACAUUGCGUUCUGUAAAUUCAGGGAGGACCUAGGCAAUUAGCUAUGCCACCCACAUUAUCUGAGAUACUCUACUCAAAAUCAAAGAAGAAGAACAAGAAGAAGACGAAAAGAGUGAAGUGAAGAAGAGGAAACACGAGUCUGAUGCAGAGUUUAAAGAAGUUUCGUCAUAUGGAGAUAUGAAGAGACUAAAAGAGAGUAAAAUCAUGAACAUGGCUACAAACGUGAACUAUCAUUCUUAAAAGUCUCUGUUUUUUUUCUUUCCUUUUUCUAUAUACAAAGAUUCAAUUUUCAAUUUUUCUAGAUUACGAUAUCAAUGGC